rnacentral:misc_RNA from 1 species
GUGAAUCAUCAAAUUUUUGAACGCAAAUUGCGCUUCCUAGCAUCCCGGGAAGUAUGCCUGUUUGAGGAUCAGUAUUAACAAAAAAAUCGGUUUGUUUUCAAAUUGUGACGGUUCCGGGGUGUGGUCGAUCUUAGCUUUUUUUGUUAAGUGGCUUAAAAUUGACCUUUUUUGCGCAUUUUUAGACGUACAUAAAUUUUUUUUUUAUUUGUUUAUUUUUAUUCCCAAUAUCUUUUUAUUGUCUAU